CUACGGGCUGCUCCAGCUAAGAAUCUUCCGCAAUGGGCGAAAGCCUGACGGAGCGACGCCGCGUGGGUGAAGAAGGCCGAGAGGUUGUAAAGCCCUUUUCUGUCUGAGGAAUAAGCCUGGGAGGGAAUGCCCGGGUGAUGACGGUAAGACAGGAAUAAGCCCCGGCUAAUUACGCGCCAGCAGCCGCGGUAACACGUAUGGGGCGAGCGUUGUUCGGAAUCAUUGGGCGUAAAGGGCGCGUAGGCGAAGAUGCAAGUCUGGUGUGAAAUACCGCAGCUUAACUGCGGGACCGCGCUGGAAACUGCAUAUCUUGAGUUCCGGAGGGGGAGUUGGAAUUCCUGGUGUAGGGGUGAAAUCUGUUGAUAUCAGGAAGAACACCGGUGGCGAAGGCGAACUCCUGGACGGAAACUGACGCUGAGGCGCGAAAGCGUGGGGAGCGAACAGGAUUAGAUACCCUAGUAGUC
rnacentral:rRNA from 1 species